UUGUGUUUGGUAAAUGGAAUUCAACUCAUGGAAUUGGAAUUGGAGGCUCCAAUUCCAGUUUUAUUGUUUGGUACUAGAAAAAAAAGUGGAUUUGAAAUUGAAUUGUAAUUCCAAAAUUUUGAAUUCCAUGAUUUCAAUUCCAAACUUUUAGAUGAAGAAUUCCAAAUCCAACAUCUCAAUUUCGCAGGUCAAAUUAUAAAUUCGCGGAUCCUAACCGGGUCAAAACAAAAAAACGGGUCAAUCCAAUUUCACUCUCCCAUUCACGCUCUUCUCUCUCUCUCUCUGCGUGAUGGGAACCCAAAUCUCUCGUUCUCUGGAGAGCUUCCUUCAUCAACAAUCAAUCAGGCAUAUUCAAAAAUUGGACCUUAUAGUAGAAAAAUUGUGAUAGAAAAUUGGGAAGAUAUAUAUGCUCUUUUCUCUCAAGAUCGUGCUGACGGGCAAGGUGCAAAAACACAUCAGGCAGGAUGAUCAAAACAUGAUUAAUAUGGUGCAGAUUAUGGAUUGGGGGGCAGUUAAGUAUGAAUGCAUUCAUACAUACUUUCAUGGAGCAGUUAAUAUUUGUAAGUUAAAGAUAAGGAGGAAUCAAGCUGGGCUUCUCAAUGUCUAAGGCUAAGAUGGACAUUUUGUGGAUAUGUUUAACACAUACUUACACACCAUUAGCAAUUUGUAAUUUUCUGUUUAUUUUCCAACUAUUCUCCAACUAAGGAGAAAAUACAAAGUUGGAAGUUUUAUCAAACAUGUGUGAAUGCUUUGUAUGUAGUUUACUCCACAUAUUCUGGUUUAAUUAUAGAAGUUUCAGUUUGUUUGCUA